rnacentral:lncRNA from 1 species
CUGAGACAGUGCUCUAGCGAUGGUCACAGGUAUAAGCUGUUAGCUAGAGCAAUUUCAGCAGUUGGGAGGUGAGCAUAUCAACCCACAAGGUUGUCUGAGAGGGACAACAACUUCUGCUGUUAGUUUACUUUUGGGUAUAAACGUGAACUUUGAGGAAAGAGUUAAAUUCAAUUAAAAACAAAUUCGUUGAGUGUCUACUAUGUGCAAAACAAUAUGUUGUGGCAAAAGGGGGACGCAAUGUGAAAGAUCUGUUGCCCUCGAGAAGAAACGACCCUGCAUAUCAGCAAGGUAUCUUUUCCUGAAGCCGGUCUUCAUUAACAGGCUUGGUCUUUCUCCCAGUGGAGAAAUCACUUGGGCCACUUCUGCAUCUAGAGUGUCAGACCCAAGCUAGGAAAAAGAAUCAUCUUUAAAAGUAUGUCAUCAGCACUCAAGACCUUUAAUGAGCCAGCGGAAUUGGUCUCCUGGUCCUCUCCUCACUCCACAGAGACUGAAAACUAGGAGCCUGAACAAGCCUGGAUUUGCCCACUGGAGGAUGAGAAGACGCUUGAAGCAGAGUCCAGAACACAGAGAAGAGUCCAAUUAAGAUCAGCAAAGCUGCCUAACCAACCCACACCUACCUACCCAUAGAGAAAUGGAUGAGCUCUACCAAGCCCAGUUCACCCCAGUGGAAAUGACUACCCAUCUGCAUAUGCAAAGCUGAAUAAAUGCUUAUCACUUGAAA